rnacentral:rRNA from 1 species
GACGAACGCUGGCGGCGUGCUUAACACAUGCAAGUCGUACGGUAAGGCCCUUUCGGUGGUACACGAGUGUCGAACGGGUGAGUAACACGUGAGUAACCUGCCCACAACUUUGGGAUAACGCUAGGAAACUGGUGCUAAUACUGGAUAUGUGCUCCUGCUUCAUGGUGGGGGUUGGAAAGCUCCGGCGGUUGUGGAUGGACUCGCUGCCUAUCAGCUUGUUGGUGGGGUAGUGGCUUACCUAGGCGGCGACGGGUAGCCGGACUGAGAGGGUGACCGGCCAAACAGGCACUGAGAGAAGGCACAGAUGCCUACGGGAGCCAGCAGUGCGGAAUAUUGCACAAUGGGCGCAAGCCGGAUGCAGAAAGGCCGCGUGCGGGAUGACGGCCUUAGGGUUGUAAACCGAUUUCAGAAGGAACGAAGCUUUUUGUGACGGUACCUGAAGAAGAAGCCACGGCUAACUACGUG